UUUACUGUCGUUUACUACAUAUCUAAAAUUGUUUCCAAUAUUCCAUCGAAAUGUUUUUUCAACUGUGCAAAUUGCUGUCUUGGGUCACGAUGGAGGACGUUAUGAUUCGCCAUUAAAAACAAUGAAAAUAAUUUUGGUGUAAUGGCUUUUAACCUAACAGCAUGGUUUUCCAGAAGAAUUUAAGGCAUUAAGUGAAAGGUAGGAGGGUAAUGAAAACUCCCCCUGCCAGCAUCCUCAGAGCUUCUCGUUAUUCUCCUCAAGGACAAACCACAUCACGUUCCUUGUGUCACCUCCACAGACAGGCCAUCCACAGACGGGAAAAUACACAUGGAACCUCUCCAUCCCUUCCUGACACAGGUGAUAGCCUGCUACUCACUCGUUCCUCCACCUGGACUCAUUGUCUUCAAAAAACAUCUCAGAAAUCAUUCCAUGCCAGUACAUAAAGAGCGAGCUGACUUUCUAAUAGCUCCAUAGUGUUCCAUUUUGUGGCUGUAUUGCAAUCUAUACAAUCGACAGACGCUGUUUCUACUCUUUUGCUAGUAAACUCCACCGCUUGCCUUUGGGUUAUUUCACAGGUGUGAGAAUAUGCAGGUAAAUAGGAGGAGGGGCUGAGUCCAAGGCUUUUCACCCAGCGAGUGUUGUGCUUCAAGGAGGCUGGACCAGUUCUCCAGUUCCAGCAACAACGAGGGUGGGUGGUCCCCCUCACCGCCAGGUGCUCUUCUGCCUCCUCCCCCAAUUACAAAGACCCUCAUGAUUACACUGGGCCCACCUGGACGAUGCAGGCUACAUAUGCUCGCUCUCUUAAGGUCAGCUGAUUUUUAGCAGCCUUCAUUCCAUUCCAUCUGUCACCUCACCUCCCCUCUGUGGUGUAACCUGACAUCUUCAUCUGCUCCGGGCAGUAGGUCAUGGACCUCUUUUGAGGGCCAUUAUUCUGCCAACUGCAGCCUCCCAGAGGAGGUGACACUUGGGCUGAGACCAGACGUGCCACGCACAGAGCCAGGGAAGGAGAGUUCUGACAUCAGGAGCAAUGAGUGGAUGGCUGAGGAGCCCAGCUAGAGAUGAAGGACAGACUACCUCUAGAUUCGUCUCUGAUGUGACGGUGGAGCCCGUGGCACCAGCAAGUGCAAACACCGGGUGACGUUGCUGAGCUCGCAGCGCAAACACGGCAGCCGGCCAUUCAUCUCAAGUCAAACCUACGGCUGUGGGACAAGGGGACAUGUGCCUCUCCAGCACCUGUUUUAAAAAUGCUUGGCGUUGCUGAUUACUUCCUGUUUCUGGACCAUCCUCAGCCUUGUUUACAGGAGUCAAGGUGGUCCCCAGCCUGCCGAGCAGGACGCAGGACGCAGACCGAGAUGCUCCAACCCCCUCUGGACUUACGAGCUACAUGACGUGGACGCUCCAUCUCUGUGCCUGUUCGCUUUCUUCUCGACGCUGCACAAUGACCUCUGACAAAUAUUCUGAGAAUAUACCGAGAAGAGUCUACACCCAACGCCUGGAGGAGUUUGACGAUCCGCCUCAAUUCUUUCUUUCUAGCAGGCUCCAAACCAAUUUAAUCACCAACUUUCUCUUUUUUCGAGAACUAUGACUAUGAAGAUUCCAAUUGCAGAAAGGGACAAGUACAUAGGAAGGAAUGGCAAAGUGACAGAGGCUGUGCUGAGAUGAAGACACUACGGAAACAUUGUGUCUUGCCUUCUACUCUUCAUUUCCCGGCCCUACAUGCCUCCCGCACAUCAAGUGCCCAAUGAGUACAUGUUGAAUAAAUGUUCAAAAAUGGCGGAGACAAAUAUUAAACCUUACUGAGAUGUGAACUUUGUGUCUUGCAUGCAAACAAGGCCCUGAGUGUUUGUGAACGAACUUCAGUGAAGCCACCGUACUUCCUUUUUGACCUACAAAAUGCCUUUGACCUUCCCCACAAGUGAGAGCAAAUGAUGAACGUGAAAGAUGAUAUUUUAAAAACUCUGUAUUCAAUUAUUCACACCAAAGGAUAUCCAUUAAAAUUAUGAACAUCUCUAAAUAUAUUUCAUGUAUCAUACAUAUAUAUACUUUAUAUGUAUAAUUACAUAUCGACAAAAGAUUUCUGGCUGCUCUAAGCAUGUAAGUAAAACAAAGAUAGAUUUUGCAACGUAACACCCAUAUAUGCAUAUAUACCAGCUGUUUGAAUUAUGAAUUUAUUUACAACUUGCUUAGGUUAGAAUAAGUGAUUACUGUUCUAUUGUACAAACAUAACAGGUUAGGGUUUCUUUAAAUACAAAGACUGCAAAUGAAUACAUGAAAAAAUUACACACAUGUACAAUAUUUAUAAUUU
ensembl:lncRNA